UGGGGAAUUUUGCACAAUGGGGGAAACCCUGAUGCAGCGACGCCGCGUGAUUUAGAAGGCCUUCGGGUUGUAAAAAUCUUUUCUAUGGGAAGAAAAUGACAGUACCAUAGGAAUAAGGACCGGCUAAUUACGUGCCAGCAGCCGCGGUAAUACGUAAGGUCCGAGCGUUGUCCGGAAUCAUUGGGCGUAAAGGGUACGUAGGCGGGUAAGCAAGAUAGAAGUGAAAUCCUAUAGCUCAACUAUAGUAAGCUUUUAAAACUGCUCAUCUUGAGGUAUGGAAGGGAAAGUGGAAUUCCUAGUGUAGCGGUGAAAUGCGCAGAUAUUAGGAGGUAUACCGGUGGCGAAGGCGACUUUCUGGCCAUAACCUGACGCUGAGGUACGAAAGCGUGGGUAGCAAACAGG
rnacentral:rRNA from 1 species